UCCAACCUUUCUCGAUCGUCUCAAGCUCUCUUGUCCCAGCCCUCGAUGUCAAGCAAAACAUCUACUCAACCUUCUAUGUUGUGGUCUAGGGAGAAAGAGAGACUUUUUUCAGAUUUAUUUCCCUCUUGAUCAAGCCAUCUCCCUCUUUUUCAAACUUAUUUUUAGUGCUAUUAAUAUUUUUUGAAGCUUCGAUUUUUGAAUGCAAGAAACUUGACUUCCAGUGAUGAUGUACUUAAAUGUUGAUCAGAAUAGGCUUGUCAUCUAUUUCUAUUCCUUUGAUAGAAUGAAGUGAGUUACAUACAUUGAAAGUGUACACGAAAAUGUUUCAAUCUUCCAAGAAGGUUCAAGUUAUUGUGCAUGGAUUUUGUUAUGCAUUGAAGAGUAAUAUUUUUUAAGAAACAUUGCUUUGUUGUUAAUUUUACAUAUAUCUUGCACGUGAUAUUGAACAUUAUAAUUUUAUUUAAGUUGUUUAUAUAUUUUAGUA